UCGGUUGANCCUGCCGGAGGUCACUGCUAUUGGGAUUCGACUAAGCCAUGCGAGUUGUGAGGGUUCGGCCCUCAGCAGACGGCUCAGUAACACGUAGAUAAUUUGCCCUUAGGUGGAGUAUACCCUCGGGAAACUGAGAAUAAUACUCCAUAGAUCUAGACUGCUGGAAUGCUUUUAGAUUGAAAGAUUUAUCGCCUAAGGAUAAGUCUGCGGACUAUCAGGUUGUAGUUAGGGUAAAUACCUGACUAGCCUACGACGGAUACGGGUAGUGAGAGCUUUAGCCCGGAGAUGAUAUCUGAGACACGAUAUCAGGCCCUACGGGGCGCAGCAGGCGCGAAAACUUCGCACUGUGCGAAAGCACGACGAGGGAAUCCCAAGUGCUGGCUCGUAAGAGUCAGCUGUUUCUCUGUCUAAAAAACAGGGAGAGUAAGAGCUGGGUAAGACGGGUGCCAGCCGCCGCGGUAAUACCUGCAGCUCAAGUGGUGGCCGCUAUUAUUGGGCCUAAAACGUCCGUAGCCGGUUUCAUAAAUGCCUGGGUAAAUCGUACGGCUUAACCGUACGAAUUCCGGGUAGACUGUUUAACUUGAGACCGGGAGAGGCUAGAGGUACUCCUGGGGUAGAGGUGAAAUUCUGUAAUCCUAGGGGGACCACCAGUGGCGAAGGCGUCUAGCUAGAACGGGUCUGACGGUGAGGGACGAAGCCCUGGGGAGCAAACGGGAUUAGAUACCCCGGUAGUCCAGGGUGUAAACGCUGCUCGCUUGAUGUUAGUCGGGCUCCGAGCCCAACUAGUGUCGGAGAGAAGUUGUUAAGCGAGCUGCCUGGGGAGUACGGUCGCAAGACUGAAACUUAAAGGAAUUGGCGGG
rnacentral:rRNA from 1 species